GGAGUUACGAAGGUGGAGGCAUUACUUUUCAUUCAAUCCUCAUAGUGCCAAACUGCAUUCAGUCUACAGUGUAGAUCAGCCAUAGGCAAGCUUGAAUGAUGAAAGCACACACACACAAAAACAGUUCAAAUGCUCCUGGGCAUGGGGGGGGGAUCUAUAUUUGCAUAAAUAUUUCAAAAGAGAACCAUUAUAAUUAUUCCUUUUUAAAAAUAUUACCCAUCGGGUUGCUUUCCUUUUCACUCCUCCGGCUUGCAUGCAAAAUUACACCGAGAGGUCAGAUUAAUUAAACUCCCUGUUGUGGCCGGUUGAUAUUUCAUAAAUAGUUGUUUAUCUGGGUCCUUUCUCUUUCUCCUUUCUUUCCAAGCACGAAAAAAAGUUUCCUUUUUUGGUAAAAAAAAGGAGAAAAAUGCGCGGCGGUGGAAAGGCGCUCCAUGAAGCAUCGCAAUAUCUUUGUCUUUGGAGUCAGCUGGAGUUUCAGCUGUUUGGGUUCUGAGCUUUUCCAGCAUUAUCAGAGGACAUUUGCUCUUGAAUCUCAAAGUGGCACUUUGCAGAAGAGGCAUCAUUGGAGUCCCUGCCAACGCCACAUACAUAGUCAUACAGGUGAGUUUAAAAGGAGUGGAUGCAGAGGGGAGAAAUUGCAAACAUCUAUUGGCAAUUGGCUUUUCCUGGGAGAUUUGCAAGAGGGAGUGAAAGCAAUUUGAGAUGACUGGUGGGGGAAAGGGACUACACAGAAGUUGGUCCUUAUCAGUGGCAGGUUUGGAGUCAAGAAAGCUAAAAAUCAGAUUAUAGCUUGGCACCAUUGAGUUCUUGAAGGGCAUCUUCCAGAGCUUAAAGAAAGCCAAUGAGAUUCUAGGCUGCAACAAUCAAAGUGCAGUGAACGUUUGAAAAGAAUGCUGGCCACCAUGCUACAAGGGUUGAAUGAAAAGUAAUGCCUCCACCUUUGUAACUCCUCAACAGAUGGAAGUCCUGGUCUGUGGCAGGUACUGGCUUGUUCAGUAGACUCUCCUCUACAGUUCCAUUUGGCAGGAAGCCUUAGCAUUGAAUGGUUGUGUUGUUAAAGUUCGAAGUAUGGAACCCUGCGCAGAUGGUCGGUCAAUGCAACUUAAGCAACAUGCAGUCAUUGAAUUCUUGACAGCAGAAGGUGUCACCUCAAAGGAGAUCCAUCAGAGAAUGCAAGAUGUUUAUGGUGAUUGUGUUGAUGUGAAUACUGUGCGUUGUUGGGUGAGUAAAUUUAAAGAUGUUGAGGCGGAAACAUCUAACUUGUGUGACAAAGAGGUGGACUUCCUGUGAUAGCAACCA
rnacentral:lncRNA from 11 species